AAUCUCAUAAUUGUUCUUGAUGAGUAUGGACAUAAUUGUUCUUGAAAAUCUCAUAAUUCUUCUCAAAAAUUACUCCUUAUCAGUUAAGCUAAUCCUUCGUUGUUUGCAAUUCUAGCAUUUUACACGAGGGAAUUUCCAGACUAAUUUGAAUACAUGUGGAACAUUCAUGUCUGGAAUUCUGAUGCCAUGUUUCUUCUGUUUUUUGUUGAUGUAUUUCUUGAACAUUUUACUGUCUGUUGGCUAUACAUACAUCCCCUCUUGGAAUUUUUCUUGCACCUCCAUGUUGUGUGUUGUAAGAGAUGCAACAAAAGGUUGUCAUUUUUUGAUAGAAUUUCUAUACCAAUGUUAUUACAAGUAAGCAUGUGGUUAACAUCAGUUUCUCAUCAAAGUUAAUAUAAAUCCCGAGAUAAAAAAUUCCAAAACCAUGUUUGCUGUCAUUUUUAGUAAGAGCGAAAAUUGUGUGAAUCUUAAUUUUUUUGUAGAAAGGUAGUUUUGUCCCUAAGUAGAUAAGUUUAGGUGAUUUAUAUCUAUUACACUUUAACCCUUUUUUUUUUAAGGCUACCACUUUUAAUCAUUCACUGGCUUCUGAGAAAGUUUUUUUAUUUUUUAUUUUUUAAGUUUCUUGCAUUUUGUUUCUAAAUAUGUCGUGUUAAUGGUAAAAAUUAUUGUUCUUCAUAUAUUGAAUCGUUAAUAAUGAAAAAUUAUAUUCUCAUAUUUAGUUUUGACCUAAUCUUUUACUAAAUUUAUAGUCGGUUGAAUAAAAUAUUUUGAUUAUUACAUUAAAACAUUUUGUAGGGGCCAUACAAAGAGUUUUGGAUAAAAGAGCAUCCUUCAAUUCAAAUUGCAACAAGGAUGGUUCGAAGUGUCCGGAAGUCGACACAUUUGAGUUCGCUUAUGCUAGGAAGAACAAGUAUUGGACUUGUAAUGCAGCUAAAGCUCAACAUGAUGAAAUGCUUGUCAAAGAGCAUGAAUAUCUUAUAGAGAGACAAAGGAUUAGCAACUUCCUGAAGAUAUCCCUUUGGAGGAGAUAGCGAUAGAUGAUCCUGAUGCCGAAAUUGAUAUCAUGAUGUUCGUUCUAGGCACGAAGCCCAGGCACCAAAUUCUUGGGUUAGAAGAUGGUCGCUUUCGAGAUAUUAGGAUAUCUUCUUCCAAUGUACACAAUUUGGGGAAGAGUUGGAAGCAGAACAUGUUGCUCGAAAGGUAGUUGAUGCGGCUCAAGUAAACAUGGAGCAAAAUAUGCAAAACAAGCUAAAGGUUGUUGAGCAACAAUUCAAUUCUAUAUUACAAUCUUGGAAUCAUUCUAUGCACCAACUAUGUGAUAAAGUUCCUGACUUCAUUGUACCACCAUUUAUACCAUUACCAAUAGAGAAUAAUGGUAAUGAGAAAGAUGAUACUAUUGAGGAUGAAGAGAAUAACUUUGAUGAGAAUCAGUGCAUGUCUAAUUCACGAGAUUGAAGAGUCAUGUUUUUUAUUUGCAUAACAAUAGAUAUAUAGCAUGUUUGCUCUGCUUAUUUUAACUUUAAAUGUAAUCAUACUUGGUGAAACUCAUUUAUUCGUGUUUUGAUGAAAUAUUUUGAAUUCAAUGUU